UACGUAGGGGGCAAGCGUUGUCCGGAUACAUUGGGCGUAAAGAGCGUGUAGGCGGCCAGGUAGGUCGGUUGUGAAAACUGGAGGCUCAACCUUCAGAGGUCGACCGAAACCAUCUGGCUAGAGUCCGGGAGAGGAGAGUGGAAUUCCUGGUGUAGCGGUGAAAUGCGCAGAUAUCAGGAAGAACACCCGUGGCGAAAGCGGCUCUCUGGAACGGUACUGACGCUGAGACGCGAAAGCGUGGGGAGCGAACAGG
rnacentral:rRNA from 1 species